rnacentral:rRNA from 1 species
UACGUAGGGUGCGAGCGUUAAUCGGAAUUACUGGGCGUAAAGUGUGCGCAGGCGGCCGAGCAAGUCGAGUGUGAAAGCCCCGAGCUUAACUUGGGAACUGCGCUCGAAACUACUUGGCUAGAGUGUGGCAGAGGGAGGUGGAAUUCCACGUGUAGCGGUGAAAUGCGUAGAUAUGUGGAAGAACACCUGUGGCGAAAGCGGUUUUCUAGCUCAACCCUGACACUGAGGCACGAAAGCAAGGGGAGCAAACAGG